AAAACAGUUGUUUAUAUUUUUAGGGUUAAAUUGUAAAUUUGUAAGGUGAAAUGUUAAAAUUUAUUUAUAGCUCUUUUUAUGAAUCUGUGAAAUUUAAAUAAUAAACUAGGAUUAGAUACCCUAUUAUUUUAAAUGUUAAUUAUAUUUACCAGGGUACUAUUAGUUAAGGUCUUUAAACCCAAAGAAUUUGGCGGUAUCUCAUUCCAUUCAGAGGAACCUACCCCGUGAUUGAUAAUACACGAUUUACUCUACUUAAUUUAUUUGUUUGUAUAUCUCCGUUAUCAGAGAAUCUUUUUAGAGUUAUAAUUCUCAAGAUUUAUAAUUAUAAAAUAUUUCAGGUCAAGGUGCAGCUUAUAGUUAAGAGGAGGUGGGUUACAAUAGAUUUUUGUUUAUAANGGAUUUGAUNGUGAAAUACUGUUAAUGAAGGUGGAUUUGAUAGUAAUUUGAUUUANNNNNNNNNNNC
rnacentral:rRNA from 1 species